rnacentral:tRNA from 1 species
CACCCGGUAGCUCAGUGGUUAGAGCGCUGGCUUUACAAGCCAGAGGACCGGGGUUCAAUUCCCCGGCCGGGUGG